GCCUGGGUGGCUCAGUCGGUUGAGCAUCCGACUUCGGCUCAGGUCAUGAUCUCGUGGUCCGUGAGUUCGAGCCCCACUUCGGGCU
rnacentral:tRNA from 1 species